GGCGUCACGUCGAUUGCGGCCACGCGGGUGUGGAAUGUGAACGGGGGACUAAAAUCGACUUCGGUCCUGUGUGUAUGCUUCUGAUUGCCCGGAUGUCCUCCGUACCUCGUUCCAGGCCACCUUAAAGUGAAAGACUGCGCCGCCCCUCACCGUCAUGCGCACUCAGCCGCUGGAUGUGUACACGUCUUACCAGUCGUUUACGUGGCUAGACCUGCAGUAAGAUACUUUAGGUGUUUCCUACAGUUCUCCUGGGGCCUCCUGAAGCCACUCUUCACACACGAGUUUCAGGAGUUGGUCGAGUGUGAGUCUGUGCCUCAGUGUCUGGGGAACGAUAAAAGAAGAAGCCGAGGAACCUCCUGUCUACGUGCGCGCUCUGAUUUCCAACAAAAUACACGAAGCUGCGGCAAAGGGAAGGAGCUCUCAUGAGCCUUUGCAAGGGUGUCUGGUUUGCAAAAAUCCUUUGACUUCGUAUCCGACGGCACCAGAUCGUGACUUCCGUCGUUCACCGGAGUCUUGACAAAAACGUGUAUGCUGGAAGAAGGUAACCUCCACACGAAUCGCUCUUCUUUGCAAAUGUUGGAGCAAUACGACACAAACCCUCGGAAGCCUGGUCGUUCGCAGCU
rnacentral:lncRNA from 1 species